CUUGAAUUUGGUUUUUACAUCAAUGCACAUUGUUGGUAAAUAAACAAAAAUACUAUCCAAGCUCAGCUAUUCACAUUUUUCAUGGUACAGCUGGCUGAAGGAAGUUUGGCAUUUGAUAAAUAAUUUAUUACACAUAGUGAGAUAGGGAUUCUUUCCCUAAUAGCAAAACACUACAAGCUGCCCACACACACAGCCACCGGUCCUUAAAACCCCAAGCCCACACACCAUUCAUGGUUUCUCAAACCCACGGCCUCUACGUUACGCGGGACGUUACAUUCCACAAGCAGUCAUGUCUGUUCUAAUCCUGCGGGCAUGUUCUG